AAAACCAAACUCAUUUCAUUCUUUGUCUCUUCAUCUUCUCUUUUUCUCUUCGUUUUCAUGAAUCGUAUCUGCAACAUUGACUUUUUUUUUCAUGUCGUUGAAACUGGUUUGAGGAUUGUAGUUUUUUUUUCAUGUUUUGAUCUAGGUUUGAGGAUUGCAGCUUUUUUUUUUUUUUUUCAUGUCGUGGUAGAUGAUCCAAGAUUUGAUUUUUUAUUUUUUAUUUUCCUUUAAAUGAUCUGAUUUCUUUGUUUGUAAAAAAAAUAUAUGGGUUUCUUUUUGGUUUGUAUGUCAUGAUAGAUGGGUUUCUGCUAGAGUUUCUCUAAAUUUUUCGUUUUUACUUCAGGUCCAGAUCCCCUCUCGUGUUUCUUGCUAAUGAUAUGUAUGCAUGUAUGCGUCUUUGCUGCCUCCACCGAUUCUACGGGUGGUGCUUUCAAAAUGGUGCGUGUUGCUGAAACCCAAACCACCAAAGCUGUGAGACCCAACCCCAACACCUCUCUCUCCCUCUAUUUCCAACAUCUCGACCAUAGCCUCUGCGAUUUCCAGUGCCACCACCAAUCGCAUCCCCUCCGUGUUAUAGUAACAACUCCACCGUACCAAGCCACACCGAGCCUGUCAAAUCUGAUGUUUCUCUUCUCGAUCUCCUCCACCGUGCUUUAUAAACUGUAGUUUCGGGUGUUGGAGGCCCUGAUGACGACCACAACAGGUGGCAGCCAUGGCUGAAGCCUCUGCCCAGUGAGAAUUUCUUUGUUCAGUUUUUGAUUUUUCAUAGCUGGGUUGGAUUGGGUCUCGUAUAUCUCUGGCCUCUCAUCUGCUUCCUGGCAAGACAUGAAUCCAAAUCCAAAGAUGAAUCUUUGAGGAAGGUAGAAGAGAACUUACAAAACCUUGAGAGCAAGGAAAAAGGCAGAGAUCAGAGUCAUAAAAAUCUACAUGAGAAGAUCAACGAACUUGAAGGCCAGAUUGAGUUGAAGGCAUCCAUCCACAACAUGUCUGAGAAGCAACUUUGAGAAUUAUCUGAGAGAUUGAAUGGGAGGGAAGAAGUUCGCAGGAAUCUCUAGAAAAAGGUCAAAGAGUUAGAGUCCAAGCUUGUAGAAUAACAUCACUUAGAAUCUGCAUAUUUGCAGCAGAAGGUUUGUGUAUCUAACUCUAAAGUGUGAAUCAUUUAUAAAAAAAGUCACUGCUAACUAAAGUGUGAAUAUUUUGUGGGAGUUCUAUGAGAUGUUGCAGGUGCAUUCAUGAAAUCAAAAGUUCACUCUGCUUAACAUUCAACUUAUAGAAAAUGGGUUUUAAUGGGGCACAAGAUGGGAGACAUCGGAGCAAAUGAAAGGCCUCAACAAUGAAGUCUUUGUAAUCACAGUUAGCUCAAGGAAAAUUCCAUCACAACACUGAGAUUGACAAGCACAAGUGAACUUGAGUAAUAUGUAAAAACUUUUAUUUUUUAACUCAUCUUUUCGAAGUCUCAAUUUCUCUUACAUAGAUAUUCAAACUUUGUACGGAGUUUUUAUUAAAUUUAAACGUGAUCAUAAGAUCGACACCCUUUUCAA